CAGCGCCCCGAGUGGCAAUCGCGAUUAUUGGGCCUAAAGCGUCCGUAGCAGGUCUUGUAAGUCUUUUGUGAAAUCGGCAGGCUUAACUUGUCGGCGUGCAGAAGAUACUGCAAGACUCGAGAUCGGGAGAGGUUAGAAGUAUUCCUGGGGUACCGGUAAAAUGGGUUAAUCCUAGGAGGACUACCAAUGGCGAAGGCAUCUAACCAGAACGAUUCUGACUGUGAGGGACGAAAGCUAGGGGAGCGAACCGGAUUAGAUACCCGAGUAGUCC
rnacentral:rRNA from 1 species